rnacentral:rRNA from 1 species
UACGGAGGGAGCUAGCGUUGUUCGGAAUUACUGGGCGUAAAGCGCGCGUAGGCGGCUCUGUAAGUUAGAGGUGAAAGCCCGGGGCUCAACCCCGGAACUGCCUUUAAGACUGCAUCGCUUGAAUCCGGGAGAGGUGAGUGGAAUUCCGAGUGUAGAGGUGAAAUUCGUAGAUAUUCGGAAGAACACCAGUGGCGAAGGCGGCUCACUGGACCGGCAUUGACGCUGAGGUGCGAAAGCGUGGGGAGCAAACAGG